rnacentral:tRNA from 1 species
GGUAAAAUAGCUAAGAGUAAAGCGGUGGAUUGUAGCCCCAUGAACAGAGGUUUGACUCCUCUUUUUACCA